UACGAGGGGGGCAAGCGUUGUUCGGAAUUAUUGGGCGUAAAGGGCGCGUAGGCGGUGCGGUAAGUCUGAUGUGAAAUCUCCUGGCUCAACUGGGAGCUUGCAGGCGAAACUGCCGUGCUGGAGUGUGGGAGAGGUGCGUGGAAUUCCUGGUGUAGCGGUGAAAUGCGUAGAUAUCAGGAGGAACACCUGUGGCGAAAGCGGCGCACUGGACCACAACUGACGCUGAGGCGCGAAAGCUAGGGGAGCAAACAGG
rnacentral:rRNA from 1 species